AUGAAUCGUCGCGGUAUACGCAAAACCGUAGAGCCGCUGAGAAGCUAACAUAUGAAUCGGGCGAUGAAGUUGAUCAACUGGAUAGCUACCGCAAACGGCAAUAUCAGAGGUAUUUGCAGGAGCAGCAAGAAUCAUGGUACGUGCGGAUAAUUACGACUAUCGUAACCACAAUCACCAGCGCGUGGACAUCUUUAACUGGUGCUGGUAGCGACGGAAGAAGCGGUGCUUUAGGCUAUGACAAUUCCUCUUUGUAUAGAACUAAGUAUGGACAGGUGGAGCGAGGUUUUUUCGGCUCUAUUACACACGCCAUAUCAUCAUCCAUAUCUCGGUUAUUUCGUUAUAUAUAUCUAAUAAUUUCAUCUGUAUUGUGUUUGGAUACUUGGCUACUACAAUCAUCGAACGCCGAUGGCAGAGGAAAAAAACGUUUUCUAUUGCUUUUGUUAAUCUUGUUGCCAUUGUUGCUGUUGGGUGGUGAGUAUUAAAACGUUAUAUGAAUGUUGUAAUAUGUCAAUGGACUGCGUGAAAACAAAAAAAAAAAAA